CAUCCAGCUUGCUCCUGCUGGACCUCUUGGCUUAUCUGUCCGAGCUCUCUCCACCUGUGGAGAUAUAUCUAAAGAGUGCUCCACUUGAAUACCAAGUCCUCCCAAUGCACCUGCAAGAGGCUAAAGAGAAUAGGAUGUAAGUUGUCCAGCGCUGCCCUACUGGACCUCUUGCUACUCUUGCUACUCCUCCAUGCCAUCUCGCCUUUGAAGAACUAAAUUUUCAUCGAAGGUGACAUCUUUACUGAUGAUGACCUUUUCCUCCAAGGGAUACCACAGUUGGUAUCCCUUAAUUCCUCGCAGAUACCCCA
rnacentral:lncRNA from 1 species